rnacentral:lncRNA from 1 species
GGCCGACCCGUGAGGGUGUGGGUUCCUGGCUUCCGGGUGGGCGUGCGGGGCGGACGAACAAGUGGCCGGAGGCUCGGCCGUAGGACAGGGCCAUGGAGAAGCUACGGCGCGUCCUGAGCGGCCAAGACGACGAGGAGCAAGGCCUGACGGCACAGGAUUUCCAGAUGAUCUGCUGAGGUCCUGGAUGCCUCAUCCCUGAGUUUCAACACCAGGUUGAAGUGGUUUGUCAUAUGCUUUGUUGCUGGCAUUUUCUUUUCAAUCCUUGGAACUGGGUUGCUAUGGCUUCCCAAUGGCGUGAAGCUCUUUGCAGUAUUUUAUACCCUUGGAAACCUUGCUGCAUUGGCCAGUACGUGCUUUUUAAUGGGACCUGUGAAGCAACUGAAGAAAAUGUUUGAAACAACAAGAUUGCUUGCAACAAUUAUUAUGCUGUUGUGCCUGGUGUUUACCCUGUGUGCUGCUCUCUGGUGGCGGAAGAAGGGGCUGGCCUUACUCUUCUGCAUAUUGCAGUUCUUGUCAAUGACCUGGUAUAGUCUGUCCUACAUCCCGUAUGCAAGGGACGCGGUGCUCAAGUGCUGCUCCUCCAUCCUGAGUUGAAGGUCGUCCCUGCCCAGGAGGAGUGACUGGGAACUGAUGCUGUGCCUGCUCCAGUGAUCACUCCAGAGAUGGCAGUAGUCUCAGCCGUGCCGUGGACCGCUGAACCUCACUGUGCAGCCCUCCGGUCCCUGCCCGUUAACCUCUGCUUCCAAAGACAAGAUCGUAAUCAUUGCCACUUGUAAAUACUUGUUACCCUGUUUUUAAUCUUUACAGACAGCUUCUGAAAUGUGAAUAUUUAAGGUGUAAACCUGUGUUGUAAGAUAUAUCCCACUUAUUCAGCCUUUUUAAAUGCUCCACAACUUUAAAGAGUUUUUUAACUUUAAAAAUGUGAAACUUUAUAUACUUUAAGCCCAAAAUUACUUAUUACGUGUAAUAAAAAGUAAUAUAUGUAUCUUGACAGUUUUGAAAUAAACACUUGGAAAUGUAACAUUUUCUGGAUCAGCCGUAUAAGGUGGAGAAGGUGUAGCUUGUGGGCAGUUCACACCACUCAGUGUCUCAAAGUACAGAAAUGGUGGAAGAGGACAGGCAGCUGGGGACACCCUGUGGACUUGGGGGCUGGAGAGAUGGCUCCGCUAAGAAUGCUUGCUUCUCUCCAGAGAACCAGUUUAAUUCCCAGCAUGCACGCGUAAAGUGGCUCACAACCAUCUUUUAACUCCAGUUUUAGGGGAUCUGAGUCCUCUCCUGGCCUCCAGAGGUACCACAUGCACACGUUGACCAGACAUACAUGUAAACAAAGCACUCUUAUACACAAAAAUAAAUCUGUAAAAUAGC